GCUGUACAUCGUUCAAUCUACCUGCUCCCUCAGGAGUCUCUGCCAGUGAUCUGGACACCAGUGUGCGCUUUGAGUUUCCUUUUCCUAGUAUGGAGGAGGCCCAGAGGGAUAAGACCAGUACAGUGAAGAACAGCAACAGUCCAGAGUUUAAAGAGAAGUUUAACCUGAACAUCAACCGUCAACACAGAGGCUUCAAGAGGGUCGUCCAGGCCAAAGGCAUCAAGUUUGACAUCAUCCACAAGGGGUGAGAUCAGAGACACACACCACACCUGGUU